AACGCACAUUGCGCCCGGUGGUAUUCCGCCGGGCAUGCCUGUUCGAGCGUCAUUAUAGCCCACAAGCAUUGCUUGGUAUUGGGGAUUGCAGCUACCUGCAGCCCUAAAGUCUAGUGGCGGCCCCUUUGGGUUUCAAGCGUAGUAAUUCUUCUCGCUACGGAACCUCUAGGAGCUAGGUCUCAAAAGGACCGCGCCAAAACCCCCAUAUUUUACAAUGGUUGACCUCGGAUCAGGUAGGGAUACCCGCUGAACUUAA
rnacentral:misc_RNA from 1 species